CCUACGGGCGGCUGCAGUGGGGAAUAUUGCACAAUGGGCGCAAGCCUGAUGCAGCCAUGCCGCGUGUGUGAAGAAGGCCUUCGGGUUGUAAAGCACUUUCAGCGGGGAGGAAGGCGUUAAGGUUAAUAACCUUGGCGAUUGACGUUACCCGCAGAAGAAGCACCGGCUAACUCCGUGCCAGCAGCCGCGGUAAUACGGAGGGUGCAAGCGUUAAUCGGAAUUACUGGGCGUAAAGCGCACGCAGGCGGUCUGUCAAGUCGGAUGUGAAAUCCCCGGGCUCAACCUGGGAACUGCAUUCGAAACUGGCAGGCUAGAGUCUUGUAGAGGGGGGUAGAAUUCCAGGUGUAGCGGUGAAAUGCGUAGAGAUCUGGAGGAAUACCAGUGGCGAAGGCGGCCCCCUGGACAAAGACUGACGCUCAGGUGCGAAAGCGUGGGGAGCAAACAGGAUUAGAUACCCCGGUAGUC
rnacentral:rRNA from 1 species